rnacentral:tRNA from 1 species
UCCCUGGUAGUCCAGUGGCAAACCGUGCUCCCAAUGCAGGAGGCCCAGGUUCGAUUCCUGGUCAGGGAA